AUCGAUCCCUCAAAUCUCUCAUUCACUCGCUCACUCUCUCUUUCUCUCUAAAACCCUUCGGUCUCAGAUAUUACGAUUCAACCUUCUUCAGCUGGUGAUUUCGAUUUCGAAGUUCUCUGUCACGAUUUCAAAGCUCCACUGCCACCACCAUCUGCAUCGUCUACAAAGGGUUUGGAUCAACUCUUUUCUUGCUUGACUAUGUUGUGAGAUCUGAGUUCGAACAGUGAAGGAAGCCCUAGAUUGUUGUGUUUUGGGGGUUCUUCUUGUUCCUUGAUGGCAAUAUCGUCUAUACCGCUACAUCUAAACCCAGCUACAGUUAUUGAGACUAGAUCAUCUCUUUUUCCCCCUCAAGAAGGUUUGCACAAGCUCUCUCUAUUGAACAUGGAAGGUUGCCCUGUUACUACAGCAUGCUUGGACUCUCUUGCAGGUUGAGAAACUGAUAAAGGAGCUGCCUAGUAUGCUUGCUGAUUUGUCCAAUUGAGAUCUAAAUUCUGCAGAAAAGGAUCAUUUAAGCAAUGGAAUCUCUUUUCAACACACUGAAAAUGGAACAAAUCCCAGGGAGGCCCAAAGCAUGCUUUUGGAGAGAAUCGCCAGUGAAAUGAACUAGCUAAAGUUCUACAUCACUCAUGCACAGGAAGAAUUACGUACUUAUUUCUCACUGCUAGUGGUUAUAGAUGGUUUUUUCAACCUCUCAAAGAUGCUCUUUGAUAUUGCCAGUGGUUAUU